GUUACAAUUAAAUUAUAUGCUUUUAAAUUGUAUAGUGUACUAAAUUGAUAAUCCAUUUAUAUAAAAAAUAUAAUGAAAAUUUUUUUAAAAAAGUUGAAAAAAAAUCAUAGCAGAUCAGUGUCUAUAGGAAAAAUAGGUACUUCUGAAUUAUUUAUAAUUCUGUACAAUGAGUAUUAUUUACAUGUGUUUAUUAUUUGACAUAAUUUGUAUAGUUGAUGAAAAUUUGUGAUACUUUUAUUGAACGGUUUUGAUAUCAUAAAUUGUAGAUUUUUAAUGAAAUACAUCCACACAAAAUAUGUAUUAAUAUAUUUCACUAUCUAUAACAACCAUAAUAUGAAAAGCAUUGGUCAUUCGCGCCAAUGACGAAUCGCUAAUAUUUAUGAUUCACUGGUCCAUUGAAACGUCGUUGAAAAAGAUCGACCCAAUGAGUCUUAGACUACUGUUGAAUACCUCGGCAAAAAAACUCCAACGUAUACUGCACACUGUGCAUGCUAAUAAGUCAUCCGUCGAUCAUAAUUGUCAUAUAGGUAGGAUGAUCCAAGGGCACAGGCGGCAUAACACAGAUUUGCGAUGUGGCUUGACGUGGUAAUUCGGAGGAACACUGAGGGGAAAGUUGUUAUUUUUUGUUGUUGUAGCCCGAUUUUUGCAAUAUUUAUCAGAUUACCAUUAUAAUAAUAAACACCCGGUAGUUAAAUAGAGCGGUAUAUUUAUUAGAUUCAAAAUGAGUUGGCAAUAGAGACAGCCGCUGUCAUUUUUAUGCUUUCUGAUUUUUCAAUAAAAAAAAACAAAUGUUAU